GAUGAAGAACGUAGCGAAAUGCGAUAAUUAAUGUGAAUUGCAGAAUUCCGUGAAUCAUCGAAUCUUUGAACGCACAUUGCGCCCGCCAGUAUUCUGGCGGGCAUGCCUGUUCGAGCGUCAUUACAACCCUCAGGCCCCCGGGCCUGGCGUUGGGGAUCGGCGGAGCCCCCCGUGGGCACACGCCGUCCCCCAAAUGCAGUGGCGGUCCCGCCGCAGCUUCCAUCGCGUAGUAGCUAACACCUCGCGACUGGAGAGCGGCGCGGCCACGCCGUAAAACACCCAACUCUUCUGAAGUUGACCUCGAAUCAGGUAGGAAUACCCGCUGAACUUAAGCAUAUCAAUAAGCGGAGGA
rnacentral:misc_RNA from 1 species